ACCCCUGUGAGAAUGCCCCACAGUUCCCCGCCCGGGAACAAGGAGCUGGUAUUAGGCACGCCCCUUCCGGCAGCCCAUGAUGCCUUGCUUAGCCACACCCCCAAGGGACUUCAGCAGUGAUAAAUAUUAAGCCAUAAGUGAAAGCUUGACUUAGUUAAGGCUCAGAGGGUCGGUAAAACUCGUGCCAGCCACCGCGGUUAUACGAGGGACCCAAGUUGAUAUUCGCCGGCGUAAAGAGUGGUUAAGACAUACAAUGAAACUAAGGCGGAAUUUCUUCACAGUCGUCAUACGCUUUUGGAGAUAAGAAACCCAAUAACGAAAGUAGCCUUAUGAUAUCCGAAUCCACGAAAGCUAGGGCACAAACUGGGAUUAGAUACCCCACUAUGCCCAGCCCUAAACAUUGAUAGCCCACUACACCCGCUAUCCGCCCGGGGACUACGAGCACCAGCUUAAAACCCAAAGGACUUGGCGGCGCUUUAGACCCAUCUAGAGGAGCCUGUUCUGUAAUCGAUAACCCCCGUUAAACCUCACCCUUCCUUGUUCAUACC
rnacentral:rRNA from 1 species